rnacentral:rRNA from 1 species
CCCUUAGAUGUUCUGGGCCGCACGCGCGCUACACUGACAAAGCCAACGAGUACCUCCUAGGCUGAAAAGCUCGGGUAAUCUUUUGAAACUUUGUCGUGCUGGGGAUAGUCCUUUGUAAUUUUCGGACUUGAACGAGGAAUUCCUAGUAAGCACGAGUCAUCAGCUCGUGCUGAUUACGUCCCUGCCCUUUGUACACACCGCCCGUCGCUACUACCGAUUGAAUGGCUUAGUGAGCCUUUGGGAUUGGCAGCCAACACCGGCAACGGUAGCUGGCCGCCGAAAACUUAUGCAAACUUGGUCAUUUAGAGGAAGUAAAAGUCGUAACA